AGAGUUUGAUCCUGGCUCAGAUUGAACGCUGGCGGCAGGCUUAACACAUGCAAGUCGAGCGGAAACGAUGGUAGCUUGCUACCAGGCGUCGAGCGGNGGACGGGUGAGUAAUACUUAGGAAUCUACCUAGUAGUGGGGGAUAGCACGGGGAAACUCGUAUUANUACCCCAUACGACCUACGGCAGAAAGGGGGCAGCCUACUGCUCUCGCUAUCAGAUGAGCCUAAGUCGGAUUAGCUAGAUGGUGGGGUAAAGGCCUACCAUCGCCGACGAUCUGUAGCUNGUCUGAGAGGAUGAUCAGCCACACCCCGNNCUNAGACAU
rnacentral:rRNA from 1 species